GCGCGCUUUCCCGGCUGCGCGCCCGCCCGGUCACGCGCCCUGCUCACCGCGCGCUCGCGUGGGGGCGUCCCCUCUGGCCCCGCGCACGCGCGCUACGUCCCUCAGACUGGCUGCCCCCGAGGCCCCAAAUCCUGUCAGUCCACGGCCUUGAUGGAGCGGCCCCCGUGGGACGACCCUGUUGAUUGUGCUAGCGGAUGUUGUCUCCAUUCUGGAUCUGGGAAAAACUGUGGAGUGAAAGCCGGACCUGUUAGGGUUGGGACCUGAAAGCGGACUUUUUCGCUCUCAGACGGGCCCCAGGAAUUUCAUGUUUAACAGAGGUGUCUUCAAGGAGAUGAAACAAUUCAGAAUGACCUAGGCAAUGGGGUAAUUCCUAAGGCUCACCAGGAGAAAAUGAAUCCAAAUUAAGGGACAUUCUACAGAAUACCUGACCAACACUCCCUCCUAAAAACUGUCAAGGUCAUCAAGGAAUGUCUAGGAAGAAGGAAAGUCUGAGAAGUUGUCUCAGCCCAGAGGAGCCUUAAGAAGCCAUGACAGGGUCUCCAUCUGCCUCCCAGGCUGGAGUACAGCGGUGCCAUCACAGCUCACUGCAUCCACGACCUCCUGAGCUCAAUAGAUCUUCCAGCCUCAGCCUACUGAGUAGGUGGGACUACAGAAGUGCAUCACCAUGCCCGGCUAAUUUUUGUAUUUUUGGUAGAGAUGGGGUUUCGCCAUGUUGCCCAGGCUGGUCUCGAACUCCUGGGCUCAAACAAUGUACCCACCUCGGCCUCCCAAAGUGCUAGAAUUACUAACACUUUUGUAAAGUAAAAAGUUUAAAACAAAAAAUAAGAUUGGUAGAUGGAUAGAGGGUUGGAUAGAUAGCUGCGUGAUAAAGCUGUGUGAUAAAAUAUAAGAAAAUAUUAUUGGUAAGAUCUAGGUGCUGGGCAUAAAAGUGUUUGCUGUAAAAUUUCUCUGACUUUACUGUAUGUUGGAAAAUAUGCACAAUAAAAUGUUGGCAAAAAGAAUAUUAGUAUAAUUCAGAGUUAUUAAUGUUGCUCAUGUUUUUCUUUUUGCACUGUCAUCUUUCUUUUUUCCUUAUUUAUUUAUGGGCAUGAUUAUAUAUAGAAAGUUUUAAAAAAAUUUUUCCUGUUGCAUUUCAUUUCUGACCAUUACUACCAUUCAUUUUUUCAUGAUUAUUACUGAAAAUUAUUUUGUCAUGUGGAAGAUUGUUUUAAAAUUAUACCCUCUGGGUAUCAAAUCAUUAGAUAUGCCACUGCCAAGUAUAACCGAAUGUGUACUACCAAGGGGAUCCCCCAGC
rnacentral:lncRNA from 1 species